ACACCAGCCAGCCCACGGCACAGAGCCUGCCUGUUGGUCUCUACCCACAGGGGAUCCCCUGCUGCUCCACCAUCAGAUUUGGGACACCACCCCCCCCCCGGCCCCACCAGAGGGCAUCAGCUAUGCCUAGCAAUUACGCCCCCGUGGCUAAAUUAAACUCCCAUUGGCUAAAUUAGGCUCGAAGAGAGGGGCACCUGCUGCUAAGCUGUGUAUGUUGUCCCCUAGGACUCCCACCGUUUGCUGAGCUCCACAUGACAACAGCAGACGACAGGCCGCACUGAUCCCACCUGGCUUACAGGUGCUGUCACACAGAUCUACGUCUAUAUAUCUAUAUUCCAUUAGCCCUGUCUCUCUGGAGAACCCUGACUAGUACAGAGAGGAUCACGAGUAAGCAAGCAGGGCACUGACCUUGGAUGGGCCACUUGACCUCACAGGGGUCUGGUUUUCUGGAGACAAACACCACACAGUGAUGGAGAGAACCUCGUGACAGAGCCUUGCCCAGGUGCACGUGGGGCGGAGUUCAUCACAGCGCUGGCUGGUUUGUUGAAAAGGAGGCCCGGCGGCUGUUCACUGUCUUGACAAACAGCCAGAGAGGCAGGGGAACCCUACACUGUAUACUUUUCUCAGUAAUAAACCAAGCUAUUCAUGAA
rnacentral:lncRNA from 1 species